AGAUACUACCAUCACUGCUUGCUACACUAUGCACUUGUGAUGGGAAAGAUGCACUGUAAAAACGAAAACUUGUGAUUGUUCAUCUCACUAUACUUUUUAAAUUAAUCUGACUCAGAAAUAAAGCUUUGCCAGUUGCAACUAACAAUAACUAGUUUGUCCAACAAAUUUCUCUCAGUGUUGCCCUAACAAAAAAUUUCAAGUCAUCAUAACAAAGAGUUCUAGUUUGUCCAACAAAUUUCUCUCAGUGUUGCCCUAACAAAAACUUUCAAGUCAUCAUAACAAAGAUUUCUAGUUUGUUCAACAAAUUUCUCUCAAUGUUGCCCUAACAAGAAUUUUCAAGUCAUCAUAACAAGUACAGUGACGUUGAGUCUCCACCAGACUCAUUUCCCUUUAAGUAAACCCCGUAGGUGCUCUGCGCCCCUCCACUAUGGGCUUUGAAACCCCAUAGAUGAACUUUUCAAUCGUAAACACGCUGUCCACAUCCAAACGUGGUCUGGUCGUCUGAGGUCGAGUCACGACGUGGUCGGAGUCGGACAUUUUUUUGCAACAGCAAUUCAACAACAUGGCCGAACUUCGACAUUAAGUUGGAAAAUACUGGAGAAUUUGUCAGCAGGUUAAAUUUUCCAAAGGAGGUAAGUGUUUUUUUUUUUUCUAUAUUUUGUUACUAGACAAGGAAUGUGUACUGUAUUUUCCCCCUGAACUCGCAAAGCUAAUGCAGGCUGCAGGUUCACCUUAGCAGCACGACGUGCCGAACAUCGUAAAAUGAUGAUAAUAAGCGAAGAUGUGCUGUAAGUUGAUAAAUUGUUUGAAACUGUCAAAUGUCUAAAGUCCGAGCUGUAGUGGGUAGAACGCAUAGAAAAUCCAUUCAUUGUGGAGUCUCUAAAUCACCCAUUAAGUAAUUUGAAUGAUCCGUUAAGUUUUCGGUUGACCAUUUAGCAUGUUGUCAUCCCUGCAGGGACGGGUUUUUUAUGGCUUCAGUUGGGCUAGCUAGCACACACACACACACACACACACAUGUGCGUGUGUGUGUGUGCGUGUGUGUGUGUGUGUAUUGUGUGUCAUAUUACCAUAUGACACCCAAUAUUGAUAAAUUGCCCAGCCCUACUGUAAAACUAUUAUAACACCCAGACCUAGCUUCAGUAUGGUGUGUUGCAUGGUGGUGAAAUAGAGCUGUAUUAGCUGUAUGGUGUCAUGUAUUUUUACAAACUAUUUUUGUUUACAAGUUAAAAAGUCAGCAGAAAAAAAAAUGCUUUCACUAAAAUUAAUAUGUCCUUUAUGUGUAUAACGCAGCCCAUGAAAACACUUUUGUUUAUGUAUCUGUUACGAAGGUACUUGAGACUUUGCUAGGAAAGACUGAUUUUUUCGGCCAAAUUGUAUUUGAUCAAGAAGAAUCACAUUGUGGUAAUUUUGCAUCUUUUCAAGAUGGCAAGUAUUACAAAGAUAAUAAUCUACUGGGUCAGCAAAAUAUAUCUAUCAGUUUAGCAUUGUAUAUUGAUGACUUUGAAGUUUGUAACCCACUGGACACCUCUAGAAAAGUUCAUAAGAUAACUGCAGUAUAUUGGGUUGUUCUAAAUUUACCACCCAGGUUCCGAUCAAGUCUCACUUCUAUUCAGCUUAUUGGGUGAAAGUGUGGAUGUCAAACAGUAUGGUUAUGAAAAGUUUCUUGAGCCAUUGAUAAAAGACAUUAGGAGUCUAGAAGAAGUGGGAAUUUUUGUUCAGGGUGGAGGUCAGUUUGCUAAAGGUACUGUUUUUUUGUGUGUGUGCGGAUAACCUUGCAGCACAUCGUUUUGCAGGCUUUUUUGAAAGUUUUACUGUUGAGAAAUUCUGUCGGUUUUGUUUGAUAAGUGGGAACCAAAUUGCAACUAUUGAAGUGAAUGAUUUCCAGUUAAGGGGGCCUGAUCAACACAACACUUUGUUGGAAGAGCUUAGGCUGAACGACAGGCUCCAAAGCAUUGAUGGGGUAAAAAAGGAUUGUGUUCUGAGCAAAAAUCUACUGUUCUUUCAUCCUGUAACUGGAUUUCCUCCAGAUGUGUUACAUGACCUUUGUGAAGGGGUUAUUCCAGUAGAACUGUCUUUGUGUUUGAAAGAACUGAUCUCAAAAGGUUUCUUUACGUUUGAUAUAUUAGAUGACUGUAUAAAAUCAUUUCCUUACAAGUAUUCAGACAGAGUAAACAAACCACAAAAAAUUCCAAAAGCGAGCUUUGAUAAAGGAACGGUUGGCGGUAAUGGACACGAAAACUGAACACUGUUGCACUUACUUCCUUUUAUAAUUGGACGCAAGAUACCACAACAGGAGGCUGCAUGGGAGAUUCUAAUGUACCUUAAAGAAAUAGUUGAUAUUGUUGUGUCUAACAGACUCUCAGAGGAAUCAUUGUGCUAUUUAUCUUGUAAACUACUGGAUCAUCGGAAGUUGCUCACCAGCACCUUUCUGGAUUUUAGAUUGAGGCCAAAGCACCACUACCCACAUGUCAUCUGCUGCUAUGGGCCUUUAGUAGAAUUGUGGACAAUGAGGUCUGAAGCACAACAUAGCUUCUUUAAAAAGGUGAUCCAUGACACUCACAAUUGGAAAAAUGUGUUGCUCACGCUUUCCACAAAACACCAGCAAAUGAUGGCAUACCAUCUGGAUAGCCGUAACCUAUUCAAGCCAAAACAGUUUGUUGAAAAGUGAAAGUGAUCAGAGCGUCAGAGUUGUGUCCAUCACUGAAAUGUGAAAUACAGAAGAAGUACGGACAUCUAGACAGUGUGUCUCUGUCUAAAACGAUCCACUUGCAUGGGACACAGUAUACGGCAAGAAUGAUUUUAUCUGCUGGGGAAUGCAGCGGCCUCCCAGAAUUCCAUAAAAUUGAGAACAUUCUUGUCAAUGCAGAUGAAGUGACAUUCAUUUGUAAAAGACUCUCUUUCUGGUACACUGAAGAUUUCAGGUCCUAUGAGCUUAGUGAGCACCCUUCUGCAGAAAUUGUACUCCUGGAUCCAGAUGUGCUGAAGGAUUACCACCCACUAGCAGCAUACAGAGUUGGUGGAAAGCUGAUGGUGACCACAAGGACAUUCCUUCUCCAUUAAAGCAUCUCAAAAUGACUUUGUUACUUCGGGUAGUUAUCUCCUCUAAAGAAGCUUGGCGAAUCCAGCUCCUGAAGCACCAGAAUCUGUGGGCCAGUUGAUAGAUAUUCUGAAAGAGAGACUUGAACUUGAAGGCGAUUUCUCACUACAGUUUGAGGAUCCAGAUUUUGGAAAUGCACUGUGCAACUUGACAGCAAUGUCUGAAUUACUGGCUGAGUGUGCAGUCCUGCAUAUUAAGUGGAACUGUGAAUUAACUCCAGGUAUCCAAUCCAGUGACAUUUCAGUUUCCUCACUGGACACAGCCAGUGUUCACUCUGAAGAUUUCACUUCUAGCUGUACAGAUUCAGUCCAGGGCAAUUUGAGGCAUGUCACCGAGUGGCCAUUUCCAUUUCCCAUCCCAAAGUUCUCAUACGAUGUUAAACUGAAAUUGCGCAAGGCCAAUGAGACAUACGAAAAGUCAAAGAAGGGACUUGAUGCUACAAGAGACAUUAAAAUGGAAAUUUUGCAUUAAAUUGCACAGGCAGUUUUUGAAAUCAAAAGCUACCCCGAGAAAGAUGAACUUGAAUCAGUUGCCUCUUCGUUGGUUCUCAAGUAUCCAUGCCUGAAGGAGCCAGGUAGUGUCACAGGCUAUGAAGGAUGGAAAACAAGAAUCAAGUACAAGCUUGGAAACUACCAGGCACAACUGCAUCAGGCAGGUUGCAACGAGGUAGCAAUAAACAAAAAAAGAACAGUGGAAGACGAGGAUGUGACAGUUCAUGCACUCUGAAAAAGCCCAAACAUGGAGAAGUCAACUAUAUCCCAGAUCAUCCAGAACACCAUGAUGAUUCUUCUCUAGAAGAAGAAAGAGUUGCUCUGGUUGAAGAAAUAAAGAAGAAGAAAAAGAACAUGAUGCUGAUAUGGCACAAGAUGGACCUGACAUUUUCCCUUUGAGAGAGGUCGUAGAGGUCAUAGAGGGGCAGCCAAUGGUAUCAGAGGUCCAGGAGAGAUGGCCUGCACUGUUUUCUGUUGAGGAGAUAUCAGAAGAAUUUCAUCGGAUCACCAGCAAAGACCUCUUGGGGACUUUCAAUGCAUCCCUUGAAAAAUAUGUUCAUCUCCUGCUAAAGCUGUACCGAGCUAGAAAGGCAGCUUUUGGUCCAAGGAUGGACGACCUCCUGGAAACGCUUGAUGAACAUACAUUGAACAUUGUGUCUCAGAGGAAGCAAGUAGCAUUGAGAGGUCUGCCCAUUUUUGUUCGAGAUGACUCAGCUGCGUUUUUCCUGAAGCGUUUGGUAAGUAAUAGUAAGUGAAGGAAAUACUUUAAAAUGGAAGUAAAAACACAUAUACAUAUUUUAUGUGUAGUACUAUUUAUCCCUCUAGAUGAAUUUGAUGUAAAGUUCCGGAGUUUAGGGAGAUAACAACAAAAGAGAUGUCUGCCUUCUCUCUGAUUUACAUAAACUAGAUAGCACUUGGCUUGUGGUGCCAUCUAGUUCCAUGACCUUGGAGAGAUGUCGACACCUCUAUGGCUGGUAUCUCAAAAACUUAGCAACAGCACAAAAAAUAUCAAGAAGGAUAAGUAGCACAUUUUGAUAAAUCACUACAGAUGUGAUAAGUCUGUGCAGGAAUUAAUUUCUUUUCUCUUGGAGAAAAAUACUCCUUGAAAUGAGGGAGUAGAUAAUUUGAGGUGGGGUUGUGUGAGUCACUGAAUCCAUAGUGCUUGUCCACGUCUAUCCAUGUAUUGCCUACAGUAGAUGGUAGUCAAUAUGACCCCAUUUUGAAGAAGCAGCAGCAGGUGUACUGAUGUAGGAAGCUAAACAUGUUUUCUCCGCUUUACAUUGCUGUUGAGGCAGCCUUUUCUGACAGGAAACUAUUGGUAUAUAAGCCAAAUAUAGGUCUGUCCACACUCAGGAGAUUCCUUUGGCAGAACCAGUAAUUUUACCUUACAGAACAGAGUUACCAGGUACCAGUGCCUCACUAACAGUUUUUUUAAAUGGAUGGCUGUUGCACAGUAAAGUAACAACACAAAUGAACUAACUAAUCAAGGCAGUGGUAGACCAGCAACUCCAGUGUUCUGUGAGGUAAAAUUACCUUUUCUGCCAAAGGAGUGGUUGCUUUGGAGAAAACGAUAAUUGUCUCAUAUUAUAUUCCAAUUGUAAAGGCUGUGCGGUAGCAAGCAGCUUGCAUAUUAGUAGUAAUAUUGAGAUUUCUUAUUAAGCAUCUUAAAUAUAUUUUACUGUUGACCCUAGAUCAAAGUCAAGUCAAAGUCAGCUUUAUUGUCAAUUCUUCAAUAUGUACAUGGCAUACCAAGAAUUGAAAUUUUGUUACUCUCUCUUCGUGCAACAGUAGACAUUAAAUAAAGACUUAGAAAAUAAGAUAUUAAAGGGCAAAAAAGAACAAAGGAAGCAAAAUUAGAGCCGAGCAACAACUAAGAACUAAGAAAAGCAGAACUGAGUGAAAUGUAAACAUGACCAUGAGAUAAAGUGACGGAUUUAGUGCAGAAUACUCAGAACAGUGCAAAUAAGUAACAGUCCAAGAAGUGCAAAUAUGCUUGACGGUUGAAUGUGCUAUUUCAGUGCAGAUCAGAGGUUAUGGACCAGAGUUUGUGUAUGCGGGGGAAGGGGGUGGUAGAGAGGGCAGACAGGGGAGAGAGUUCAGCUUCCUGACAGCCUGGUGGAUGAAACUGUUGCUCAGUCGGCUGGUCCUGGCCCUCAGACUCUUCAGUCUCCUCCCUGAUGGCAGCAGGCUGAAGAGGUUGUGGGACGGGUGUGUGGGGUCACCUGCAAUGCUUAGUGCUUUGCAAGUGAGGCGGGUGCUGUAGAUGUCCUGGAGUGAGGGGAAAGAGACACUGACAAUCCUUUCUGCUGCUUUCACGACGCGCUGGAGGGUCCUGCAGCAGGAGGAGGUGCAGGAGUCGUACCACGCUGUGAUGCUGCUGGACAGGAUGCUGCUGUUGCAUCACAAUUUCAAAACUUCCAUCAGUUUAUGGCAAGAGUCAGUAACAUGAAACCAAGGAUAAGCAGACAUGUCUUCCAUCUUUUAGUUUUCCCUUGCACUUAACCAUACAUCUGUUACUUUUCCUCAGGACACUGACCAUGAACAAAGAGUGCUCAGAGGUGUGUCUGUUGGCCUCCUUGCUGUUGUAGAAGAUGAUGAUGCCACUACAACACCAACUGUGUGAGAUGUGGCUGUGGUGUUGGAAGGGGCCGUUGCCCUGCAUGACCUACCAGACCUCUGCACUGGUUUUGCUUAAUGGAAAAGUCAGAGAUGCUAACCACGGUUGCUUUUUGGUACACCUAAAUAGACAGAUUCUUUAUUAAUACCAAGAGAAGUUCAAGAAAUGUUCAUCAAAAAUAAGUAAAAUAAACAUAAUACUACUGGAGAAACUGUUUUUAAAUCCACCCUGUUUGUUCAUUGUUCUUAUUGUUGUUCAUCCACUUCCGCCACUUCCUUUUUGGACAGCUGGUUGGCCUUAUUAGUCUUUGUUUACUUAUAAUGUACACGAUUUGGGCUGCAGUGUGGAGCAGUGGCUCGCAAAAGUGAAAGUGUCAGUUGCCAUUUGACGAGGUGCGUAUCAAGGGUUUUAAUUGUUGAAGUUCAUUGUUCAUAUUCAAACUGUAUUGUAUAUGCUGGUGCACACAGUCAUUUUAAACAUGCAUGUCCCCCUUGCCAACAAAAUGGAAAUUUGAACAAUUAAGACAUGAGGCUCUAGGUGUUUAUUUUAUGAUCUGUUUUAAUUUGACCUGAUGUGCUCAUGCAGUUGACACCCUCAUGUUUACAACCAUGUUUCACAAGGAAUAAACAGCUAGUUUCACCCAACUUUCAGCUGUGUGCUUUGUCUUUUAUUUUCUCAUUUAUUUAUUGAGCUUUUCUUGAGUACAAUUAACUUUGCCUUUAUAAAUCUAGUAUUUAUGUUAUUUUAGUUUAGAAUUGUUUGUUAAUUCAACAAAAAGUCUGCCUUUGUAGAGGAUAGAAAUACAUGACAUGGAAGCAAGAAUUUCAUUGUUAGCCUCACAGGAAUGUCACCAAUAGAUGGACAAGAAUAUUAUCAUUAGGGGAACAAGAAUUUCCAAGUUGGAAGAACUCGGAUAUCGUCAAUAUGUACACAAAACGUUUCAAAUUGGCAGGACUCAAAUAUUGUCUUUCGGUGAACAAAAAGAUCUACAGUGGGUACGGAAAGUAUUCAGACCCCUUUAAAUUUUUCACUCUGUUUCAUUGCAGCCA